UAUUGAGUUCAUGCUUUUGCUAAGGUAAAAUCAUUUUUAACCGGCUGACUGCAUCUUCUACCGGUUUUCAAUAAAGUGGACCUUUCAUUUGACUAAUAAACUCAGUCCGUGUUGCCUGUAAAAAUUGAGCACAUGUGUACACAAGUCAUGGACUCAGAAAGGAGACAACGAGAACCAGCAUCCCCGGACAGGAUCAGAAGUAAAAAGAAGAAGAAAAAGCAGGACAAGACACACAAAGGAAAGGAAGAAAAACUGAAGUGGAAAAGAAAGCAGCAGCCACAGAAAAAUACUCGAGGACUCCAGAGCAAUGCAAAGGGCUCUGCUUGUAAUAGUCAACAUCUGUCUUUAAAAACAUAUCAAUCACAUGAUCACUAACAGCUGUUGCAUUAGACUUUUAAUCAGCCAUGAUUUUCAAAAGGGAGAAAGAAUGUCGUUGGAUCAGUUAAUGGAAAGUUAUUGCUUAGAAUGCACUAGCUUCAUACGAGCAACCACUUCAAAAUUAAAAGAGACAAAACUUUACCAAACACUGAGUAGAUACUUUUCAAGUGCAAAGUGCUGUGCUAUGAAAGCAUAAAUGGUCCCACGUGUUUGGAAGCACGAAGAAAACAAGGCAGGUUGUGAGAUGUAUUUAAACUGAUACAUUUAAUGUGAUAUGAAGUCUAUAAAAAUAUUUUUAAAACCUCUAUACUCAUGGAAAGUAGGAAAACAGAAAGUUUUCAUAUAAUGCAGUCAUAGUAAGUACUGAACGAAAUAGAUCCUCCAAGCUUUGAAAGCCUAUUCCUUCCUUUUCAAGUAUAUGUAACUCCCACUGAUGCUAUGUGAAAUUACUAAUCCAUAUGGGAGUGAGAACAACAGGAACUGUGGCAAGUGUACCUAUAUUGGGGAAGAGGUUAGACCUGGUUUGAAUUAACUUUCAGCUUUUCUAGAGAAAAUUUGCCAGGUUUGAGCCACUUACCUUUCCAUGCUGAAAUGCAAGGGCAAUGCGCA
rnacentral:lncRNA from 1 species